rnacentral:rRNA from 1 species
AACACCAUAGGACUGGCCGUCCCAUAUGAAAAGAUUAUAUUAGAAUUGAAUGAAGCUUUGUUUAUAUAUUGAUAAUGACAGUAUAUAUAUCGUGUCUUGACUAAUUGCGUGCCAGCAGUCGCGGUAAUACGUAAGAGACUAGUGUUAUUCAUCUUAAUUAGGUUUAAAGGGUACCCAGACGGUCAAUAUAGCUUAUAAAAUGUUAGUACUUGACUAGAGUUUUAUGUAAGAGGGCAGUACUUGAGGAGGAGAGAUGAAAUUUCUGUGAUACCAAAGGGACUCUGUAAAGGGAAGACAGUCCUAUGUGUUACAACUGACGUUGAAGGAGCAAGGCUCAGAGAACAAACAGGAUUAGAUACCCAAGUAGUCUUUGCAGUAAAUGAUGAAUGCCAUAGGUUAGAUGGGUGGGAUCGUCUAGUUGAUCUAGUUUGUGCAAAAUAAUGAUCUAGACGAACCCGCCGUAUAUUUGGUCUAUAAAUGAAAGUGUAAGCAUUUCACCUCAAGAGUAAUGUGGCAACGCAGGAACUGAA